rnacentral:ncRNA from 2 species
UCCUUUGUCCCCGUCACAGGUGAUUCAUCAUGCGUUCAUGGAUGAUGGAUUGAAAAGGGAAUCCGGUGCGAGUCCGGAACUGUACCCUCAGCUGUAAUUUCAGUAGAAUGGUUUUGCAUUCUUUUUGAUCACUGUAUGCCACAUCAAGGCUACGGGAAGAUCGCAAAACCUUGAAAAAGUCAGAAGACCUGCCUGGGCGACUUUUUUUCA